GGCAAAGAAAAUGAAGUCUAAGAGGAAUAUAAAGUGGGAGCUGGAACAGGCACUGCUUUUUGUGAUGUGGCAUGAACUUGGGCUUCUCCUUGAGUGAGAUAGGAGCCAUUGAAAGGUUCUCAACCGAGCGGUGAACUAAUCUGCUUAUGCUUUAACAGAACCCCUCUGGCUGCCCUGUCAAAAUUAUCCAACGGUGGUAAGGACAGCAGCAGGAAGUCCAGUUGAGAGGCUAAUUCAGUCAUCUAGCAGAGAGUUUGUGGGAGCUUAAAUCACACUGGCAGCAGGAAAGUGCUGAGCUGAUUUUGAAGGCCCAUCCUCCUAACAAUCCAUUUCCUAUCCCUUCUGCAUUCUCCAUGCAGAACCUGUCUUCCUAGAAAGUCCCUCUCCUCAUGUCACUCUCUUACUCUUCAAAGCUCACCCAGAAUCCUUGCUGACCAAAUUGGGCUCUGUUCCUUUCCUCCUGUGUUCUAAGCGUUUGCAUCUCGGCAUCUUUCCUACCUGCUUUAUUCCUUCCUCUUCCCGUUCUGCCUUCUCCAUACCAGUCAGCCUAUUUACCAUCUUCCCCACCCCAUGCACCCUAACUGCUAUUCUAACCUCUGUAAGGAAAACAAUACUCUUCUUUGCCUAGAUCUUUCCAUCCUUAAAGCCUAUUCCAAGUGCCACUUUCCUGAGGUCUUUCUUCCUCAUGUUCAAAGUCUGUGUGAGCACUGUGUUCUCUGGCUUGACCCUUAGAGCCUGUACCAACAAUUCAGCUUACACUAUUUUACAACUUAUUUUUGGCUGCUUCCGUAAGUUCAUAAACACUACAAAGACAUGGACUGGAUAAAGAUGCUUUUUCAACUUGCAUCCCCACCCCAACACAGGUGAAAUAUGUAAUAUGUGUUCAGCAGGUGUCUGUCAGACUGAACAAAACCCAACAUAUUCUCUUCAAAUUAGCUAUCUCAUGAUGAACUGGCAACCUGUCCUGACCAUGUUAAAGACAUGCGGCACUGGCCCUGGUGGUGCAAGCCUGUAAUUCCAGCUACUUGGGAGGCUGAGGCAGGAGGAUCACAAGUUCCAGGUCAGCCUGGGAAACUCAGCAAGACUCUGACU
rnacentral:lncRNA from 1 species